CCCUUAGAUGUUCUGGGCAGCACGCGCGCUACAAUGGUCUUCGCAAACGGAUGCAUUCUCGAAGGAGAAUGCCAAUCUUGGAAUCUAUGCCUUGGUCGGGACAGUUGCUUGCAAUUUUUCGACUCGAACCAGGAAUUCCUUGUAAUCGUGAUUCAUCACAUCACGAUGAAUACGUCCCUGCCCUUUGUACACACCGCCCGUCGCUCCUACCGAUCGAAGAGUUAGGUGAAUUGUUUUGAUCGAUAAGAUUUGACUAUGGUCAACUCUCGUUGUGAAAUUCUGUGAAUCUGACUGUUUAGAGGAAGGAAAGUCGUAACA
rnacentral:rRNA from 1 species